rnacentral:rRNA from 1 species
CACGAAGCAAUAUGAGCUAAUAAUUAUAAAUUUUUAGAUUGAUACGUGUUGCAUAACUAAUUAUAAUAGUUAUUAGGGGUGAUAGGCUUUUCACAUAUUGCGAUAUCUUGAUGUCUUCUACUUGUAUUUAGUACAUAGACAAUUUAACAGCGAUAAGGAUGUUAAAAUAAAUUAAAGGUAAUUUUUAAUCAACAUAUGACAUAGUAGUUUAUGUAUAUAUAAAUAAAUAUUACAGUUUCGAGUUUAUUAAAAAGAGAAGACGGUAUAAUAAUCAUAACCAUACUCAUAAUGUUACUAUAAGUAGUCCAAUAGACAUUGAUAAUGAACUCGGCAAAUAAUCUCUCAACUGUUUAUCAAAAACAUAGUCACUUGGAAGAAUAAGUGGUAAUUUCUGCUCAAUGGAAUAAAUAGCUGCAGUACCCUGACUGUGCAAAGGUAGCGCAAUCAAUUGACUCUUAAUUGGGGUCCUGAAUGAAAGAAUUAAUGAGAGGUGACUUUAUCAGAGAUGAAAAGUGAAAUUAUUUAGUAAGUGCAAAUGCUUACAAUUUAAACAAUAGACGAGAAGACCCUGGAAAUUUUAAGAAUAAGUGAUAAGUAAUCUUUUUGUUGGGGCAACAUAGCAGCAAUAUAACCUGCUAAUAAACACGGGUAAUAUUUUACGCUAGAGAAAAUUACUCCAGGGAUAACAGCAUAAUUUCAUAAAAGUUUGUGACCUCGAUGUUGGAUUAGGGAGUUACUGUUUAG